UUUAUCCAGGUUUGUAACAACAUUAGAGUGAGUAAAUUAUGACCAUUUUGGGGGGAACUAUCCCUUUAAUUUAGAGGUGCCCAAACUAGGGCCAAUGACCUUUAAUUUGGCCAGCCAUGCCACGUGAGAUAAGGAAACAUCAUUGACGCAGAUGUUUAUAUUUCUAAUUAAACAGUUUUUAAAAUGUAAUUUUUUUUGUUUUAUUUGUACAUUACAAAAAUGUAAAUUGAAAUAAAAUGCAAGGAAUUAAAAUGAAUACAUUUAUUUUUAAUGUACAUGGAUACUUGAAGGUGUGCAUCACGAAACUCAACGAACUCAGAACACAUCUGUCACUAAAUUGAACCCAGUCACCUUGGAUUAUGCCCAAAAGUGUGAGAAUUACAAGAAACUCACCAGAACUGUGAUGGACUCCAUUUCCACCUUAGAAAAAAUGACAACAUGCUCCGUCACAGGGAAAAAGGGACCACUGGUGAACAAAGACAGAGUCCUGACAGAGAAAGUGAAGCUAGUAAUAGGGAGCCUGCUGGAAGAGAAUCUGAGGACUGAUGCACAUAUAACAAUGGACAUGCAUAAAGACACAUAUCUCUCUCUAUCUCUCUCUCUCCCACACACACACACACACACACACACACACACUCAGAUAUACAGUUGUUGUUGUAUGGACAGCAUUUUAUUGAUACUUGUUUUUUUAUGAAUAUGUUUGGAUACUUCUUAAAAUUUGCUGUAUGUUUGCAAAUAAAUUCUCCAUUUGAAUCA